ACGUCGAGAACGCCUCCACCGAGCUGGUGGUGCGCGAUGUCCUCCUCGUGCUCAGCCAUCCGGACCCGUCUCCAGCGCUCUCGGAGGCGGAAUGUUCGUCCGCUACCACCAACGGUACCACCAGU
rnacentral:ribozyme from 1 species